GAUGAACGCUGGCGGCGUGCCUAAUACAUGCAAGUCGAGCGAACAGACGAGGAGCUUGCUCCUUCGACGUUAGCGGCGGGCGGGUGAGUAACACGUAGGUAACCUACCUAUAAGACUGGGAUAACUUCGGGAAACCGGAGCUAAUACCGGAUAAUAUUUCGAACCGCAUGGUUCGAUAGUGAAAGAUGGCUUUGCUAUCACUUAUAGAUGGACCUGCGCCGUAUUAGCUAGUUGGUAAGGUAACGGCUUACCAAGGCAACGAUACGUAGCCGACCUGAGAGGGUGAUCGGCCACACUGGAACUGAGACACGGUCCAGACUCCUACGGGAGGCAGCAGUAGGGAAUCUUCCGCAAUGGGCGAAAGCCUGACGGAGCAACGCCGCGUGAGUGGUGAAGGUCUUCGGAUCGUAAAACUCUGUUAUUAGGGAAGAACAAACGUGUAAGUAACUGUGCACGUCUUGACGGUACCUAAUCAGAAAGCCACGGCUAACUACGUG
rnacentral:rRNA from 1 species